UACGAGAGCCUCGAGCGUUAUCCGGAAUUAUUGGGCGUAAAGGGUGCGUAGGUUGUUCUGUUAGUCUUUUGUCAAAGCCAGGGGCUUAACCUCUGAUAUGCGGAAGAUACGGCAGAACUUGAAAGUGCGAGAGGUGUACGGAACUCAUGGUGUAGGGGUGAAAUCCGUUGAUAUCAUGGGGAACACCAAAUGCGAAGGCAGUACACUGGCGCAUAUUUGACACUGAAGCACGAAAGCGUGGGUAGCGAAUGGG
rnacentral:rRNA from 1 species